rnacentral:lncRNA from 1 species
UCUUAUCUCUGCAGCCUAAGUCGCGGAAGCGUAGACACCCGGCUUUUCCCGCGUGCUCUAUCGGGCUCCCCUGGACACGGAGGGUGGAGCAGAAAGAGCAGAGGGGCCGGUGGGAGCCAUGGGGAGUCCGCCUAGCUCCAGAGGACACCUUACCUGGAUCCGCCUUUGUAGCCUCCUCCUGGCUCUGGGGGCUGUCCUGUGGGGUCCGAGUAGCUGAAAGACAGCCCCUCCAUGAAAGUGCUGCUUUCAACAUCUGCCACAUUUGCAAGAAGAGCAAAGGUGGCCCAUUUGAGACCACCCUUGAACUAAACCAUCCAGUGAGCCCCUGAGGUCGGGACAGAAGUGGCCAUGACCUUCCUCAAGCAGGGACUGUGGUGGAGCCCACCUUAUCCAGCACAAGGUGGCCUGCUGACUUCUGGUGACAGUGAUGCCAACUUCCUGGCUGUCCAAGGUUCAAAUCUUGGUCUUAAUCCUCCUGGCCUUCUCUCAUCAAUGGCCAGAGCCACCCUAGCUAACAAGGUGCCCAGGGACUCCGGGGUGGGAGAAGUCCAGCUUCUUCUUAGCUGAGGACAUUUGAGUCUCGUCACAGCCCCCAAAAGAAUACUCAUUUUUGUAGCUGGAGGGCCUGGCCUCUGUCUAUCUUUGCUUUUCCAGAAGCUGACAAGUACCUGCCGGAAAAACUGCCUCUUUUCCCUCCCGUGCUUGGAGCAGGCAUUGCUGACAGAUCACAGCUGCUGGGCCCAAAGGUCCCUUUGCACGCGGGACUUCAGGAAGUUGCUGCUGACCUAUGGGAGUUGGUGCAGAAAGAUGAAAUUUGUUAUCCUUGGCUGUAUCAACUCUCUCUCCUCUCCU